AAGCUAACAAUUGUGUAAGAGCAUGAAACCUGGACCGUAGUUAAUGCUCCCGGUGGGUUUCAAGCUUUUGCCAACAGGUUUACUGAGUUCUGCACAUCAAGUAGUGGUUUUCAUACUGUUACAGCCAUUGUCGUUCGUGCUGUACUACUGAGCAAGCAGUUGAUCAACAUCCUUGAACUGUCAUUGUAGAGGCAGACGAGGUCGUGAGCGCACUUAAAGACAAGGAUUACCGAAUACAUAGAGAUGAAAUCCACGCAAAGUUGGUGGCCGUUAUGAAGGAUUGUUUGUUAACUCUGCACCUCCCCACUUUAUCACAACUUGUGGAAACCUGAAAUCGACCAGAGUAUGAUUACAAUCAAGCUGGCCCAUUCGGUAAGGGUUUGACAAAGGUUUCUUAUGUUGGAAUGAGGAGAUUUCUUCUUAGAGUUAUAAAUAAUCAUAUAUUAUACGAGGACAUUCAAGUUAUUUUGCUUCUAUAAGAAGAUCGCUGCUUGAUAAUGUGAGUUCAAUUGGAGUCUAGAAGUCAGGUGAGUUUGAUGAACUCUUGGUGCAAGAAUUUGGAGCAGAUCCACAGCCACCAUGAUUAAACCUCACAUUACUGUAUGCAUCUGGUAGCUUGAGACAUUCUUUUUGCAGAAAGACUGUUCCAGUUGAAGAGGUGACUAGAUAGAACUGUCACUAUAUUCCUACUAGGUGCGCAAUGUGAAUUAAAAAAAAAUGUAUUGUACAUUGUAUUAAUAUUAAAAAAAAAUGAUGUUUUUUUGAACGUUUAAAAGAAAUUCUCUGUUUGAAAAUAAAAAUAAAAUCAAAAUCAAAGUCACAUUCAAUCAAACUAAUUAAAUCUAAAAUCUAACUAACUCCAGUUUUCUUAAAAUAGAUGAAACAUGCAACAAAUACGUUUUCUACAUCAAAUUCAGUAAAUAAUUUAAAACGACAAUUCUUUUGUUGA